ACUGAAGGAAGUCCAACUAAGGACGCGAUGUCCUGUCGCACGUUGGAUACUGAAUAUCCUGUUCG
rnacentral:sRNA from 1 species